AUGUGCAUAUGUAUGCAUUUUAAAGGUAGAACCAGAGAGAAGGAGAGCAUCCAUCCACUGGUUCAGUCUGGUUCAGUCUGGCCACUGGCAGAAGCUGGGAGCCAGGAACUCUCUCCCCAGACUCCCCCUUGGGUGCCAGGGGCCCAAGGACUCGGGUCACCCUCCACUGUUUUCCCAGGCACACUGGCAGGGAGCUGGACAGGAUGCAGGGCAGCCAGGGCUCCAGUUAGCACUCCGACACGGGACGUUGUUCCGAUAUGGGAUGCUGGCUGUACCAGUGGCGGCACAGCCCGCUGCGCCACGAUGCCGGCCCCCCGUUGUGUUCUUUCUCAGCCUGUGUGUAUGUGGAGGGAGCCGCCGCAGACUCUCACCCACGGGCUGGGAGCAGCACGUCAUCGUACUCCAACCCCCACUCCCCACCCCCAUGGAGAAACCGUUUUAUGCCGGGCCUGUGUCUCAGUAGAACUGAACAUUGGCAGAGCUAGGUCCAGUCUAUUCACUGACUAUUUACUGAUUAUCUACUCUGCACUAGGAACCAUGGGGAGUUUUCAGGGGUCACCUGCAAACACAGCAGCCAACGACGACCCAUUGCCGCUGCAAGUACACAAAGCUCCUUCCAGCAAAAUGUCACUCACCUCCAAUUCCCCUCCCCUUGAAUCCUGGCUGGCCUUGUCACCUGCUCUGACCACAGAGUGGGCACACGGGAGGUUUGAGGCCUGUCCCCUAGGAGAACUGGCAGCUUGUGGUCUUGGUGUCUCGGAGCCCAGAUCCACAAGGUUAAGUUCAAAACCUGCCCAGAAAGGCCCAGCCAGCCUCCAGCCAUUCCGGCUAUCCAGUGGAGGCAGCAGACACGCGAGCAACGCCGUCUUGAUUCUCCAGCUCUGGCCAAGCUCCACACUGAGUGCAGCCAUCAGGAAGACCCCAGCCAGUAUCGUGGACAACAGAAGAACUGUCAAGCUGAGCCCAGCCAAUGCAUGGUUAUUAGAACUUGCUGCUGGGGCCAGCACUGUGGCACAGUGGGUUAAAGCCCUGGCCUGA
rnacentral:lncRNA from 1 species